AUUGAACGCUGGCGGAAUGCUUUACACAUGCAAGUCGAACGGCAGCACGGGGGCAACCCUGGUGGCGAGUGGCGAACGGGUGAGUAAUACAUCGGAACGUGCCCAGUCGUGGGGAUAACGUAGCGAAAGCUACGCUAAUACCGCAUACGAACUCUGGUUGAAAGCGGGGACGUCGCAAGAGCCUCGCGCGAUUGGAGCGGCCGAU
rnacentral:rRNA from 1 species